rnacentral:rRNA from 1 species
GAUGAACGCUGGCGGCGUGCCUAAUACAUGCAAGUCGAGCGAACAGACGAGGAGCUUGCUCCUCUGACGUUAGCGGCGGACGGGUGAGUAACACGUGGAUAACCUACCUAUAAGACUUGGAUAACUUCGGGAAACCGGAGCUAAUACCGGAGAAUAUAUUGAACCGCAUGGUUCAAUAGUGAAAGACGGUUUUGCUGUCACUUAUAGAUGGAUCCGCGCCGCAUUAGCUAGUUGGUAAGGUAACGGCUUACCAAGGCAGCGAUGCGUAGCCGACCUGAGAGGGUGAUCGGCGACACUAGAACUGCGACACGGCCCAGACUCCUACGGCAGGCAGCAGUAGGGAAUCUUCCGCAAUGGGCGAAAGCCUGACGGAGCAACGCCGCGUGAGUGAUGAAGGUCUUCGGAUCGUAAAACUCUGUUAUUAGGGAAGAACAAAUGUGUAAGUAACUAUGCACGUCUUGACGGUACCUAAUCAGAAAGCCACGGCUAACUACGUG